GCCAGACUCCUACGGGAGGCAGCAGUGGGGAAUAUUGGGCAAUGGGCGCAAGUCUGACCCAGCAACGCCGCGUGAAGGAAGAAGGCUUUCGGGUUGUAAACUUCUUUUAUUGAGGACGAAACAAAUGACGGUACUCAAUGAAUAAGCCACGGCUAACUACGUGCCAGCAGCCGCGGUAAUACGUAGGUGGCAAGCGUUAUCCGGAUUUACUGGGUGUAAAGGGCGUGUAGGCGGGACUGCAAGUCAGAUGUGAAACCCAUGGGCUCAACCCAUGGCCUGCAUUUGAAACUGUUUUUCUUGAGUACUGGAGAGGCAGACGGAAUUCCUAGUGUAGCGGUGAAAUGCGUAGAUAUUAGGAGGAACACCAGUGGCGAAGGCGGUCUGCUGGACAGCAACUGACGCUGAGGCGCGAAAGCGUGGGGAGCAAACAGGAUUAGAUACCCGCGUAA
rnacentral:rRNA from 1 species